rnacentral:rRNA from 1 species
CGGACGGGUGAGUAAUGUCUGGGAAACUGCCCGAUGGAGGGGGAUAACUACUGGAAACGGUAGCUAAUACCGCAUAACGUCGCAAGACCAAAGAGGGGGACCUUAGGGCCUCUUGCCAUCGGAUGUGCCCAGAUGGGAUUAGCUAGUAGGUGGGGUAAUGGCCCACCUAGGCGACGAUCCCUAGCUGGUCUGAGAGGAUGACCAGCCACACUGGAACUGAGACACGGUCCAG